rnacentral:rRNA from 1 species
GUGCCAGCAGCCGCGGUAAUACGUAGGGAGCAAGCGUUGUCCGGAUUUAUUGGGCGUAAAGAGCUCGUAGGCGGCUUAGAAAGUCGGGUGUGAAACCUCCAGGCUCAACCUGGAGACGCCACUCGAUACUUCUAUGGCUUGAGUUCGGUAGGGGACCAUGGAAUUCCUGGUGUAGCGGUGAAAUGCGCAGAUAUCAGGAGGAACACCGAUGGCGAAGGCAGUGGUCUGGGCCGAUACUGACGCUGAGGAGCGAAAGCGUGGGGAGCGAACAGGAUUAGAUACCCGGGUAGUCC